CCUUCUGUGAUGAUUUUAUCAAAAUGACUUUUGUUCUGAGUUUGCUGAAGCCACCUUUAGGUACUGAGAAGG
rnacentral:snoRNA from 1 species